CUAUCGUCGACCUUUUGCCACGUGUUUAGGCUUUACAGCCAGCUUAUUAUUAGGUUUUCUCCCUUUCGUUUGAAAUAUUUCUGAAUGGGUAAAGAAGGUCAUGUAUCUAAAUUGUCUCCUCAUGGGGUCUGUUAAUUGUUAUCAGACCCCAAGUUCGGCUAGUGCGCUUCUUCAGGUCAAUAUGGAUUUUUUUUUUACUCAAUCCUAUGUGUAUACUGUCGAGUAAAGCUUUAAAAAGGUGAAUACGGUUAGUAUCUUACUUCUUC
rnacentral:lncRNA from 1 species